UACGAAGGUGGCAAGCGUUAUUCGGAUUUACUGGGCGUACAGGGAGCGUAGGCGGUUCGGUAAGCCCUCUGUGAAAUCUCCAGGCUUAACCUGGAACAGUCGGAGGGGACUGCUGGGCUAGAGGACGGGAGAGGGGCGCGGAAUUCACGGUGUAGCAGUGAAAUGCGUAGAUAUCGUGAGGAACACCAGAGGCGAAGGCGGCUCACUGGACCGUUGUUGACGCUGAGGUGCGAAAGCGUGGGGAGCAAACAGG
rnacentral:rRNA from 1 species